GCGCGACGAGGAGUGAACGAGCGCGAACGACGAGGAGCGAGCGAGCGCAAGCGACAAAAGGCGAGCGAACGCGACGAAGAGCGAGCGAACACGAAUGACGAGGAGCGAGCGAGCUAUAAGGAAAAAGCUAUAAAGAAAAAGCUCGCAUACAUACAUGUUUACACAUUAUUAUAUGUCAUUGGUACUGAAGCAUAUGACGAAAGUAGACGGAUAAGUCUUGCAUAACUUGUUUGAUUAUAUGCAGAGUUGUAUUAAACGGGAAUGCAAGGAGUGCGCUGUACCUAGACAAUCAAAGGCCGUCAGUAAUGUAUUAGUAUAAAAAAAAUAUUUAUAAGUCGAAUGACGGAAAUAUUUGAAAAGUCUUGGGUGGUCAUUCUACAAAAAAGGUCAUCCAAAAUUCCGCAAGAUUGUUUGCAGAAAAAUGUCAUCAAAAAUUUUGCCUCAGGGCAGCGAUGAAUAAUUUCACACCCGGACAAAAGCAGCCCUUGCGACGGGCCUGAACGCAUCACGAUCGUCGCCCUAGCCACUGAGCGCGGAGCAGUGCGAGGGGGACGGUAGACGUCACCUACUGAAUUUCGCCCGAAAUGUGCAGAUUGUGGCCAGCUCUGGUGUAUGAGAAGAUUUUUAUAUAAUAAUUACAAUGGAAAUAGGAAUAAAAAUAUUGUUAUGAAAUAUAUAGAAGUGCUAUUAAACUAGUAUGAGAUAAUUUUUCGUAAUCUUAUAUCGUAUAUAUAAAACAUUUGUUUCUGUUACAACUCUCUAUGUUGUGUUGAAGCUCUUUAUCUCUUCUGGCAAUCCCCCUCCAAAAACUUCCUUUGUGUCAUUCUAAACGACCGUUAGAAAUGACGAAAUUAUUCGAGGGUCAGAACAAUCGUCAAUAGAGCAAGCAGCAGUGUGCGUUUACUAGUGAUACAGAGCAGUUCG